AAGCAAGAGAUCUUUGCCAAAGAGAAAGCUUCUAACUUUUAUCUUGAGUGGUUAAAUUCCAUUCAUU
rnacentral:tRNA from 1 species